UGGGGAAUAUUGGACAAUGGGCGAAAGCCUGAUCCAGCCAUGCCGCGUGAGUGAAGAAGGCCUUAGGGUUGUAAAGCUCUUUCAGCGGGGAAGAUAAUGACGGUACCCGCAGAAGAAGCCCCGGCUAACUUCGUGCCAGCAGCCGCGGUAAUACGAAGGGGGCUAGCGUUGUUCGGAUUUACUGGGCGUAAAGCGCGCGUAGGCGGGUCGCUAAGUCAGGGGUGAAAUGCCGAGGCUCAACCUCGGAACUGCCUUUGAUACUGGCAACCUGGAGUUCGGGAGAGGUGAGUGGAAUUCCGAGUGUAGAGGUGAAAUUCGUAGAUAUUCGGAGGAACACCAGAAGCGAAGGCGGCUCACUGGCCCGAUACUGACGCUGAGGCGCGAAAGCGUGGGGAGCAAACAGGAUUAGAUACCCCCGUAGUCC
rnacentral:rRNA from 1 species